GACGAACGCUGGCGGCGUGCUUAACACAUGCAAGUCGAACGGUUAAGCGCCUUCCUUUUUGGUGGGUGUGGAUGAGUGGCGAACGGGUGAGUAACACGUUAGUAACCUGCCCCCUUCUUCUGGAUAACCGCAUGAAAGUGUGGCUAAUACGGGAUAUUCUGGGUCUGUCGCAUGAUGGGUCUGGGAAAGAUAUUGUUUCGGUGGGGGAUGGGCUCGCGGCCUAUCAGCUUGUUGGUGGGGUGAUGGCCUACCAAGGCGGUGAGGGGUAGCCGGCCUGGGAGGGUGGGCGGUCACACUGGGACUGAGACACGGCGAAGACUCCUACGGGAGGCAGCAGUGGGGAAUAGUGCACAAUGGGCGCAAGCCUGAUGCAGCGACGCCGCGGGGGGGAUGGAGGCCUUCGGGUUGUGAACCUCUUUCGCCAGUGAAGCAGGCCUGCCUAGUUUGUGGGUGGGUUGACGGUAGCUGGAUAAGAAGCGCCGGCUAACUACGUG
rnacentral:rRNA from 1 species